GUCUGGGUGGCUCAGUCGGUUGAGCAUCUGACUUUGGCUCAGGUCAUGAUCUCACAGUUCGUGGGUUUGAGCCCCGUGUCAGGCU
rnacentral:tRNA from 1 species